UGCGGAAAGUGGAGUGUGAGAGAACAUUGAAAAAUGGCUGCUGUUAAAAGCGAAAAAAGGAAUAUUAUACGUUCGUUAAACAGAAAAACGCUAGACGAUCAGCUAAACAAGCUUACAAACCAUUCAAUUGAAAGCAUCGCUGUAUGUGUAUUUUACUCUAGCAAUAUUUACAAUUAAAAUUUCCCAAGACAGUUGGUGAGUUUAGAUAGGGUAAACAGGUUGAUAUAUUCCAAUGUCUUUCAUCGUAUGGAAUUCACGAAUAAACGUUCUUAAGGACAGAACCGACAAACUGUUUGCUUGGUCCUAAUAUAGUGCCUUAUACAUCUCAMAACUCAAUCGAGAACGUGUCCAUUGAAUUACCAAUGGCGGGUUGGAAAACAAACAUGUACCUUCGAUGUCAACCAUUUUCUCGUUGACCAUGACAGAGAUUCCGCAAAGCAAGCAAGAUAUAGAGGUAUUAUCCCAUUGAACCGACGCAAAAUACACACAACACUCGUUCACUCAAAAACUUCAAUGAAAAGUUUACAUGAAGUCUUCUUAUCGAGCAAACACAACGAUAAAUUACUGCCAUCAUCGCAAAGUAAAGAAUUCUUCACGAAAAAAAAAAAAGAAUUCGAGCGCGCGGUUUUUUGCGAAGUCUUUGAAUCGUUAAAUAGAACUAGAUAUAUAUCGGAUCGAAAUAAGAAAAAAAAUAUAAAAAUCGGCAUGGAUUUCAAGGGUGAAAUAUUUUAAUUCACUUAAAGUUAAACUGAGUGAAUUCCCGAUUUAAAUGUUGUGAUAAGUCCACCGGGUAAGUCGAGCGAUGGAGAUUACUCAUCCGGUAUAGUGAGCCCUUUCGAUAACAAAUCAAGGUCAAAAACAUUACAAGAUCAUUACCAAACGUUAAAUAAAAACACACUAUUCUGGCUUUGGAAUUAUUAAUAACAUAAACSUAUGUAUUUUUCACGAUUCUUGGUUAAGAUUUACGAGCGCUAAAGUUGUUUUGAAAGAUAAUCGCYGCACCACUGAGCUUCAUGGUCCGGAACCAUAAUGGCGACAAUCGGCGGAGAAGGACAUCAUGGCAUCAUGGCUUGACAAUGCUCUUAUUGGUAAAUAAUGUGAAUGGAAUCGGUCUAUGCUUCCUCUCGGAACGUGCCRAUUUCUCGUCUUUUGGACAUACUAUUAAACUUCAUGUUUCCUACAAAACCACAAGAAUUGUUUCAAAACCUACAAGCUUCCUUCUUAAGUGYCCCUAGCUAUUGUUUUUUGAUAAAACAUGGGCUUCGAGCCGCCUUCCUUAGUUGUUGCCAUUAUGCCUCACGAUUCAAGUUCUCAACCACAAGGGUGACUCCAGGAAACAUGGAGUAAAGUAGAGCGUUUUCCUUGAGCAGCGAUUCAAAUGAAAGUAGUUUUAACAGCUAACAUGUUUAUGUACUGAUAAUAGUUACUUUCAGACUAGGAAAACACCAAUCAUCUGUGUAACAUGCAAAUAUUUGAACCAUCAUGACUAGCCCUUGUUAGCUUGUAAUGUUAUUUGGUAAGAAGAACCCUGAGGCAACAUUUCAAAAUGGGCCGGCAAACUGUUUAAAAUCAGUACUUUCCUUUAACUAAUACAGAACAAGACAGAUCAAAUCAUUCACAAAUAAAUUCCAAAACAAACUUUUCACAGGGAAGUUUAUUCAGGUAAUAAAGCCAAACGAUCUUUCUUAACCGUUUUUAUACACAAAGAAAUAGAAGAUGUACCGAUCUAGCAAUAUGRACCUUCCAAAUGAARUUCUGCCAAAYUGUGACCUCAAAACUUGACGAUAAAAUCACCAAUGAUAACGAAAAACUGUUGAGAAUAUGCUAAAUAAAAUCCAAAGUUUUAGUCAAUAAACUACUGGCUAGUUACUGCAAAAUGUUUGGAAUUGUGAUCGGAAAUUCUUUGGUUAUCCUAAGAGUCUUGCUGACAGCCGACACGGGCUGGGUGUAAAAACCAUAACAUUACCUCAAUGCGCUACUUCUGAGCAGACAAUUUUUAGUACAUUUCCUUGGCUUUCUUUGUAUUUCCUUCCUGAUACAGGCCUAACCUUGUACAACCAAAAGCCUCGAGUACUAGUGGAAUGGGUGCCGCAGUCAUGGGCUAGGUUGAGUGUUUUUAUAGUUCAAUGUUGAUAAAUAAAAGAACGUUACAAAGAAAACACGAUUAAGACCAGCCUUAAACGAUCUGGGUGGUCGAGUGUUUGCCAAGACACGUAUGUCGUCUGUAAGCGCGUGUACAUGCUAAACUAUUAACCCAAAUACUUCCAAGAGUUUAGGAAACACUUUAAUUUAAGAUCGUUCAACUGGGACAAAGUUUGCAUGUAUAAGUACACAGAAAUGUAAUAAUUCGGCCGUACGAUUGGGCCGACAAAGGUCAAUAUUCUAUCGGAAGGGUUGUGAGUCUAGAAGGCGCUCUGAGUUAGUUGUUGAAAGCUAUCUCAUCUGACUAGAUCAUGGCUAGUACACUAACAUAAACACGAGACCAUGAUAGCAUCACAAAGCAAAGCAACCACAGAGAAAUCCCUCAAACGAGAUCCCAAGCUGGCAAGAUUUCCAUCUCCRAAUGAAAACCAGCASUAUGGGUUUUUGUGGUUUUUAUUGAGGAUAAAUUACUCCACAUCUAUUAUUUCUCUGAUUGUAAAAGCUAGAAUUCUUGACAUGAGUCACACAAGUCGGAAGAUAAAGAUAACUAAAAAGAAAUUAUGAUUUUAUCUUGAAAGGUCUGUGAAAUUGGCCGGUCGUCCUUUCCGGUCAUGGAUUCAAGUUCAUUUGAAGGCUAACGUAACACAAUGAAUUCUUGACUCGCAACAUGAGUGGAUUUUGAUCACUGCAAUAAAACUCAUGCCUAAAAGAUAAAAAACAUGGUGAUAUUCCGGCUCGCGUAUCACUUACUCUUAUCAGCGCUCACAACACUUACAUGCGGGGGACUUGACUCUUUAAUAUCAACUACUUUUAAAAACAACCCUACGGYGAUCAUUUAGAAAAAAAGGGACUUAUUACAACUAUUCUUGAUACUAUAAACACAACAAUAGGCUACGAAACUAGUCAAAUUUCUCGAUGAAUCAUUUUACCAUGCAAGAGACAGGAGAGCAGRCCUUCUUGGUGUGGUGAACUAUGUUUAAUUUUUGAUGGUUUACGGKUCAUUUAAAGAAAUACACUAUCAUUUUAGGUGCCUUAGGCGGCUAAACAAGGCAGUUAUUGUAAACGUUUGGUUUAUCUAGAAGUCAUGCUGCUGUUCCU